rnacentral:sRNA from 1 species
GUAAAAUGUCAACCGAAGAUCCUCGACAAGUCAGAAAUCCACCCAAAUUUGGGACGCAUCAUAAAGCCUUGCAGGAAAUUCGAAACUCUCUGCUUCCAUUUGCAAAUGAAACAAAUUCUUCUCGGAGUACAUCAGAAGUUAAUCCACAGAUGCUUCAAGACUUGCAAGCUGCUGGAUUUGAUGAGGAUAUGGUUAUACAAGCUCUUCAGAAAACUAACAACAGAAGUAUAGAAGCAGCAAUUGAAUUCAUUAGUAAAAUGAGUUACCAAGAUCCUCGACGAGAGCAGAUGGCUGCAGCAGCUGCCAGACCUAUUAAUGCCAGCAUGAAACCAGGGAAUGUGCAACAAUCAGUUAACCGCAAACAGAGCUGGAAAGGUUCUAAAGAAUCCUUAGUUCCUCAGAGGCAUGGCCCGCCACUAGGAGAAAGUGUGGCCUAUCAUUCUGAGAGUCCCAACUCACAGACAGAUGUAGGAAGACCUUUGUCUGGAUCUGGUAUAUCAGCAUUUGUUCAAGCUCACCCUAGCAACGGACAGAGAGUGAACCCCCCACCACCACCUCAAGUAAGGAGUGUUACUCCUCCACCACCUCCAAGAGGCCAGACUCCCCCUCCAAGAGGUACAACUCCACCUCCCCCUUCAUGGGAACCAAACUCUCAAACAAAGCGCUAUUCUGGAAACAUGGAAUACGUAAUCUCCCGAAUCUCUCCUGUCCCACCUGGGGCAUGGCAAGAGGGCUAUCCUCCACCACCUCUCAACACUUCCCCCAUGAAUCCUCCUAAUCAAGGACAGAGAGGCAUUAGUUCUGUUCCUGUUGGCAGACAACCAAUCAUCAUGCAGAGUUCUAGCAAAUUUAACUUUCCAUCAGGGAGACCUGGAAUGCAGAAUGGUACCGGACAAACUGAUUUCAUGAUACACCAAAAUGUUGUCCCUGCUGGCACUGUGAAUCGGCAGCCACCACCUCCAUAUCCUCUGACAGCAGCUAAUGGACAAAGCCCUUCUGCUUUACAAACAGGGGGAUCUGCUGCUCCUUCAUCAUAUACAAAUGGAAAUAUUCCUCAGUCUAUGAUGGUGCCAAACAGAAAUAGUCAUAACAUGGAACUAUAUAACAUUAGUGUACCUGGACUGCAAACAAAUUGGCCUCAGUCAUCUUCUGCUCCAGCCCAGUCAUCCCCGAGCAGUGGACAUGAAAUCCCUACAUGGCAACCUAACAUACCAGUGAGGUCAAAUUCUUUUAAUAACCCAUUAGGAAAUAGAGCAAGUCACUCUGCUAAUUCUCAGCCUUCCGCUACAACAGUCACUGCAAUUACACCAGCUCCUAUUCAACAGCCUGUGAAAAGUAUGCGUGUAUUAAAACCAGAGCUACAGACUGCUUUAGCACCUACACACCCUUCUUGGAUACCACAGCCAAUUCAAACUGUUCAACCCAGUCCUUUUCCUGAGGGAACCGCUUCAAAUGUGACUGUGAUGCCACCUGUUGCUGAAGCUCCAAACUAUCAAGGACCACCACCACCCUACCCAAAACAUCUGCUGCACCAAAACCCAUCUGUUCCUCCAUACGAGUCAAUCAGUAAGUCUAGCAAAGAGGAUCAGCCAAGCUUGCCCAAGGAAGAUGAGAGUGAAAAGAGUUAUGAAAAUGUUGAUAGUGGGGAUAAAGAAAAGAAACAGAUUACAACUUCACCCAUUACUGUUAGGAAAAACAAGAAAGAUGAAGAGCGAAGGGAAUCUCGUAUUCAAAGUUAUUCUCCUCAAGCAUUUAAAUUCUUUAUGGAGCAACAUGUAGAAAAUGUACUCAAAUCUCAUCAGCAGCGUCUACAUCGUAAAAAACAAUUAGAGAAUGAAAUGAUGCGGGUUGGAUUAUCUCAAGAUGCCCAGGAUCAAAUGAGAAAGAUGCUUUGCCAAAAAGAAUCUAAUUACAUCCGUCUUAAAAGGGCUAAAAUGGACAAGUCUAUGUUUGUGAAGAUAAAGACACUAGGAAUAGGAGCAUUUGGUGAAGUCUGUCUAGCAAGAAAAGUAGAUACUAAGGCUUUGUAUGCAACAAAAACUCUUCGAAAGAAAGAUGUUCUUCUUCGAAAUCAAGUCGCUCAUGUUAAAGCUGAGAGAGAUAUCCUGGCUGAAGCUGACAAUGAAUGGGUAGUUCGUCUAUAUUAUUCAUUCCAAGAUAAGGACAAUUUAUACUUUGUAAUGGACUACAUUCCUGGGGGUGAUAUGAUGAGCCUAUUAAUUAGAAUGGGCAUCUUUCCAGAAAAUCUGGCACGAUUCUACAUAGCAGAACUUACCUGUGCAGUUGAAAGUGUUCAUAAAAUGGGUUUUAUUCAUAGAGAUAUUAAACCUGAUAAUAUUUUGAUUGAUCGUGAUGGUCAUAUUAAAUUGACUGACUUUGGCCUCUGCACUGGCUUCAGAUGGACACACGAUUCUAAGUACUAUCAGAGUGGUGACCAUCCACGGCAAGAUAGCAUGGAUUUCAGUAAUGAAUGGGGGGAUCCCUCAAGCUGUCGAUGUGGAGACAGACUGAAGCCAUUAGAGCGGAGAGCUGCACGCCAGCACCAGCGAUGUCUAGCACAUUCUUUGGUUGGGACUCCCAAUUAUAUUGCACCUGAAGUGUUGCUACGAACAGGAUACACACAGUUGUGUGAUUGGUGGAGUGUUGGUGUUAUUCUUUUUGAAAUGUUGGUGGGACAACCUCCUUUCUUGGCACAAACACCAUUAGAAACACAAAUGAAGGUAAGGUAUGGCAUCUAUAUCAAAAGAAUUCUCACAAAGUUGCUACAUCAUUGACUUUUAUUUAUUAGUACUUAGAGCAUUUUAGUCUGGAGUUAAAGAAUGAACUUGGGCCGGGUGCAGUGGCUCACACCCAUAAUGCCAGUUCUUUGGGAGGCUGAGGCAGGAGGAUUACUUGAGCCUAGGAGUUCAAGAUCAGCCUGGCAACAAUGUGAGACCACAUCUCUACAAACAAAUAUUUUUUAAUUUAAAAAAGGAAAAGAAUGAACUUGUAAGGGUAUAGGAACUCACCAGAAUUGCAUGCGUGAACUCCAGUCUCCAUGAUGCCAUAUCCCCAUAAUCUUGUAUCCCCCCCUCACUCAUACACCAUACUCAUAUAUCAUAUAUCAUUCUCAAAAAGGUCUUUAGACCAGGCACGGUGGCUCAUGCCUGUAAUCCUACCACUUUGGGAGGUGUAGGCGGGUGGAUCACCUGAGGUCAGGAGUUUGAGAUCAGCCUGGCCAACAUGGCGAAACCCCGUCUCUACUGAAAAUACAAAAAUUAGCGGGGUGUGGUGGCGGGCGCCUGU